UACGUAGGGGGCAAGCGUUGUCCGGAAUCAUUGGGCGUAAAGCGCGCGUAGGCGGCCCUGUAAGUCCGUUGUGAAAGUCGAAGGCUCAACCUUCGAAAGCCGAUGGAUACUGCAGGGCUAGAGUCCGGAAGAGGCGAGUGGAAUUCCUGGCGUAGCGGUGGAAUGCGCAGAUAUCAGGAGGAACACCAAUAGCGAAGGCAGCUCGCUGGGACGGUACUGACGCUAAGGCGCGAAAGCGUGGGGAGCGAACAGG
rnacentral:rRNA from 1 species